AUUUCGAGGUGGAAGGUAUGGUCAACAUUUCAAGGAAGACUUUCAUCUCCGAAGAGAUCCAGCCAUCAAAUAAUGAUGAGGCCGAAUGAUGAUGAGACCUGAAAAAUGAUAAGCUUCCAACAUGGAUGUACAGCAUCUGGUAAAUGAACUGCUCUCUUCCUUAAACAAGGACAACUUUCAUCUACGAGAGAUCCAGCCUUGAACUGAUGAGACCUAAUGAUGAUGAGACCUGAAAAAUGAUAAGCUUCAGACAGCGAUGUGCAGUGUCUGGUAAAUGAACCGCUCUCUCCCAGGACGACUUUCAUCUCCGAAGAGAUCCAGCCAUCAAGUG